rnacentral:misc_RNA from 1 species
UCGUAACAAGGUCUCCGUUGGUGAACCAGCGGAGGGAUCAUUACAGAGUUGCAAAACUCCCACAAACCAUCGCGAAUCUUACCCGUACGGUUGCCUCGGCGCUGGCGGUCCUUCGGGACCCUCGGGCCUCCCGCUCGCGGGAGGCUGCCCGCCGGAGUGCCGAAACCAAACUCUUGAUAUUUUAUGUCUCUCUGAGUAAACUUUUAAAUAAGUCAAAACUUUCAACAACGGAUCUCUUGGUUCUGGCAUCGAUGAAGAACGCAGCGAAAUGCGAUAAGUAAUGUGAAUUGCAGAAUUCAGUGAAUCAUCGAAUCUUUGAACGCACAUUGCGCUCGCCAGUAUUCUGGCGAGCAUGCCUGUUCGAGCGUCAUUUCAACCAUCAAGCUCUGCUUGCGUUGGGGAUCCGCGGCUGCCCGCGGUCCCUCAAAAACAGUGGCGGGCUCGCUAGUCACACCGAGCGUAGUAACUCUACAUCGCUAUGGUCGUGCGGCGGGUUCUUGCCGUAAAACCCCCCAAUUUCUAAGGUUGACCUCGGAUCAGGUAGGAAUACCCGCUGAACCUAAGCAUAUCA